AAGUCAUUGUAAACAGUAAAUGGAUGUUCUUAUCCAGUAGAGAUGCAUACUUAAGUAAUUGUAUGUUAUCUAGGAUUUGUUUUAAAAUAUUCUGGGGAAAAAAAAAGUGGAAGAGAUUGAUGAGGCAAGACUG